rnacentral:rRNA from 1 species
UACAGAGGUGGCAAGCGUUGUUCGGAAUUACUGGGCGUAAAGGGCGCGUAGGCGGCCUUCUAAGUCAGACGUGAAAUCCCCCGGCUUAACCUGGGAACUGCGUCUGAUACUGGGAGGCUUGAGUAUGGGAGAGGGAUGUAGAAUUCCAGGUGUAGCGGUGAAAUGCGUAGAUAUCUGGAGGAAUACCGGUGGCGAAGGCGGAUCUCUGGGCCGAUACUGACGCUGAGGAGCGAAAGCGUGGGAGCGAACAGG